rnacentral:rRNA from 1 species
UACGUAGGGACCAAGCGUUGUUCGGAUUUACUGGGCGUAAAGGGCGCGUAGGCGGCAAUUCAAGUCAUCUGUGAAAUCUCCGAGCUUAACUCGGAACGGUCAGCUGAUACUGUUUUGCUAGAGUGCAGAAAGGGCAACCGGAAUUCUUGGUGUAGCGGUGAAAUGCGUAGAUAUCAAGAGGAACACCUGAGGCGAAGGCGGGUUGCUAGGCUGACACUGACGCUGAGGCGCGAAAGCUAGGGUAGCAAACGGG